UACGUAGGGUGCAAGCGUUAAUCGGAAUUACUGGGCGUAAAGCGUGCGCAGGCGGUUUUGUAAGUCUGUCGUGAAAUCCCCGGGCUCAACCUGGGAAUUGCGAUGGAGACUGCAAGGCUAGAAUCUGGCAGAGGGGGGUAGAAUUCCACGUGUAGCAGUGAAAUGCGUAGAGAUGUGGAGGAACACCGAUGGCGAAGGCAGCCCCCUGGGUCAAGACUGACGCUCAUGCACGAAAGCGUGGGGAGCAAACGAGG
rnacentral:rRNA from 1 species